GACUUGUUAGCUCAGUGGGAGAGCACUUGCUUGACAGGCAAGGGGUCACUGGUUCGAACCCAGUACAGGUCA
rnacentral:tRNA from 6 species